UAAGCCUGUACAGGAAAGGAGAAGAUCGCGCACUCAGACAAAAUGGAGUGCGCCGGUAAAGGACGCGGAACUCGUUGCAUUGGCCCGCCAACGAGACGCUGUGGACGUUGUGGCGCUGUUUCUUAUUGCUCCGUCUCUCACCAGAUUUCUCAUUGGAGUGACCAUAAAGAAGAGUGUGAAAGGCUAGAGCAACACAUGAAGCGCGCUGAUGACUUGAAUGAUUUUCCUUUCACUUUUACUGCAGAAGCUACACUUCUGGGGUUUGAAAAGCGGGAGAGUAGAUGUUCGUUUUUGAGCAAAAGAGGCAUUCAUCGACUGGGGAUGUGGGUAUGUGAAUGCCGUUGUGGGGCAUCACUUACUUCCUUUGAUUGUUUAAGGUCCAGGGAUGAAGGUUGGAAUCUCUCCAGUGAUUUAUGCCCAUGUCGUGGGCCUCCAUCUCCAAUUGCAAAGCAUUUAAAAAGCUGGGCGGAUUACUAUGAGUGGAGAUGCAUCCCAUUACAUUCGCCUGUUGCUUUACUUCUUCAUUGGCCACUCAUGAUUUACCAUGCCACUCAAGUUGCUUCUGUAAGAAGCUUGACUGUUGAAAACUGUAAUGAACUGUGCAUACACUAUCUUGGUAAGUUUUGCAAUAUAGAAGUUUGGUGAGUCUUUUGAACUUUUAGCUUGGUGUUGCAUUUUGUACUAUUUGUACUAUUGAAUUCGAACGAUCUCAUGCUCUUCAUUUGCUUCUAUUUGGAAUUUUUAUCAAAAUAAUCUUCAUACUUGUCCUGUUUCUUAAGGAAAUUAUAGUGAUGCUAUUUUGUAACUGUGGCUAAUAGGAGUGACUUUGUUCUACUGGAACAAAUAAAGUUAGGCUGGAGAGUUUUGACUUUUGGCCCUAGGACAAGAAUUUAACAAAAUUGCUGUUGAUUAAAUAUUCUAUGGCAGGUGAUGAAUAUAUACUUUACUGAUUUAUCAUGAAUUGUUUACUAUGUAUUUUUGGGUUCCUUAUCACAUAGGUUCAAAUAGAGUUUCCUUGGAUUUUCCCAAAUAUCCCAACAGCCCAGCCUCCAGAAUAGCAAUAUAAUAUCAAGCAAUGUAUUUUCUUCCAUGUCCAAUGGAAUUAUGAAAUAUUAAUGCCACCAUCUGAAUUUUUAUUCAGCUUUACAGCAAAAUCUCUGCGAGUUUCAAAACAUGGUAAUGUUAUUUUUUAGUAAUACACAUCAGACAAGGGUAUUUAAUUUUUAUUAAGACAUUGAACUUAUAAAAGAUUCAAAAACCUCAUGCAGUCUUAUGAUUUCCAUUUGAAAGAGGCUUCUCACAAUUUUUUUCAACUUUUUAUUUUAAGACAUUACUUUUUUUGAAAAAAAUCAUUUUAGAGCUCUUGGAUAUAGGGCUAUAGGUUCUAGGUUCUCUCUUCUCUUAUGUCUUCUAUUGUCAUUAUAAACAUGGAGUAUUACAUUUGUGUGCCUUUUGAAUAUGCUUAGUUAAAUGUCCAUGUUUAAUGUAGCUUAUGUGUAGGUUUCUGAUUUUAAUAUAUCAAUUCAAUUUUUAAAGGGCCUGAAAAAGAGCUUUUACAACUUGCUGCCUUCUGGGAGUUGCAAGCACUUUUCCCUGGCAUGAAGGUUCAUAUACAAUUCAUUGGACCUGCAAUUCCAGAACAUAGGUCAGUGAUGCACUUGAAGAUAAAAUUUUUGAACACUGUAUUUUGGUCAUUGUUGACAUUGUUAAACAUUAGCAUUGUGGGUUUGGCUUCCUUCCACUUCGUGUCCUCUUCUCUCAAGAAUGUAACAGCCCUUUCUGGAUAGUAUACGAAGUUUAAUUCAAGGAUUUUCUUUCUUCUUUCAUUUUUGUUUUAUCUAUUGGAGCUUAUCCUCUUUCUAUUCUUUUCCAUGAAUAGGGAUGGUCAGAAAAUUGAUCUUUGCAGUUAUGCUCAUUGUUUGGAUACAGAUUGCAUCUGUAGGUCCUUAAGUGAAAAUGUGAACAGGGGGGCAGUCACUGAUAAAUCCUCAAAUGUGACAGUACAGCUUCACAGAGGAUAUUACCAUGACCGUUACAGAGAUUUUGCAGAGGUCUUGUUUCCCCUGAACUUCUCUUCGCAAAAAUAUCGCUAUGCAUAUGCAUAUAAUCAUAUAUACUCAUGCUUCUUUCUCUAGUGUUAUCUGUUCAGCGUUGUAUCAUCUGGGAAGCUAUCGCAGGUUGGUUCUCCUUAGUGCAGUGUCUCAUGACGUUUUUUGGACAGGAUUCAUUUCCUCACUUAAUUAUUGCUCCAAAUGCUGGCAUUGCUGCUUAUCCGAGUUGGUUACCUACCAUUGAGCUGAUAAAUGAAAUAAGUGUCCCAGCCGUAUUUUCUGAUUACUGUGAAGAAGCUUGUCAUCUAGCAGAAUGCUGCAUAACCAGGGUAACUGGCCAUCCUCUUGCCAUUCCGAUUCAAAUAAAUCCAUUCAAGCAGCCAAUGGUUGUAGAAGACAACGCCCUUCUGCUUCCCUGCUAUUCAAAUUGCUUUCUAUUUGGGAUGUAAGAAGUGGCCAUCUUAUAUGGAGGAAGGGUGGCUUCAAUUGUUGUUGUGAACUUACGGCCAUGAUUGUAUAGUCACGUCACGACUCACGUCAGAUAAUUCAAGAAUUUUUCACUGGCUUCUUAAAGCAUGUUGAUUGAAUCAAGUGACUAGGAACUGAGAUUAUGUUUUGCAAUUGAGACAUGUUCAGUGAUGGAGCAAACUGGGAGCCUGUCCUAGCAGGAGCUCAUUAAGGCUUGGUAAGCAUCACCAACGUUGUUUGGAUGCUAUGGUAAUAGAGAUCUACAGGUUUUGUGGCUGUAGAAUCUUGAUGUCCAUACAAUUUGAGCAAAAGAUCAAGAAACUUUUGACCAGGGUAAGUUACAUUAUCGAUAGUCCUGCUUCGUUCAUGAUGGUGGAAAUUUCAGAUUCUUCCAGUGAUUUUGAGGAUGUCUUGGGAAGCUGUUACCGGCUAAUUGACUCAGUAGCAAGUUUAUGAUGAUGGAGCCUAUUAUAAUGUUUCGGGAUUGAAUAUUUUUUUAAUAAGUAUUUCUUUUUUAUUUAUGAAUUUCCAAGAUAAAAGAGUAACGUGUAUCAAUAUUUACAUUUCAUGAGCAGGGGUAUAAUAUUUGAUGGUACAAAUACUACUAUUUAAUUAUCAU
rnacentral:misc_RNA from 1 species